CCGUUGCGGAUACAACAGACCCGCAAAACCCGCAUCUUCGCGGUUUCUCUCUCUCAUUUUCUCUUGAACCAAACAAAAGAAAGAAAAGCCAAAUCUCUCUUAAAAACCCUCUUUUUUAAAUUAUACUCUAUUCGACGACUCUCAAUUGUGUCUGCAUCAAUCAAGUCAAACUGCUUUCUCUUCGAUAUUACUUUGCUUCACGUCUCAUUCAUAUACUGCUUAUACACUGAAAUCUGAAUAGGGAUUGAAUAUCGGUGAUGUUGGGCGCUUUAAGGAGAAAAGUUGCGAGCGGAGGCUCAUCACCUUUGGUAUUAAGGAAGUCAUUGCUGGUGAUUCGAUCGGGUGUUUCAGUAUCUAGAGUUUCUUGUAAUGCUGGAAAAGAGAUAAAUAAUUCAGUUGAAAAUGAAUUAGAUUUGGUAAUCAUGAACUUAGUUCAGUUUCUUUGAAUUUCAAUUGAUCUUGAUGCUAUUAAAUCUAUAACUGAUGUCGAAGAUGGUUGAUUUAUUUAGGCCUUGCAAUAUUAAAAUGUUGAUAUAAAGUAAAAGAAGUGCAAGAUCAUAUGGUAAAAUAUUCUCUUUUUUUUUUUCAAAAAUAAUUCAAACUUAGUCCUUUGAUUUAAAGUAAA